UCUAUUAUAGGUGGAAGGCUAAUGAGCAAACAGAUCUUAUAGAUGAUGGACGAAUCUGGACGAUGUUUACUCAAGAUGACUCGGAGUUGUUUCCCGUUUCUGCCGCUCCUGCUACAAAACCUAAAGAGGCAGGAUCUAGCAGCCAGGAUGCUCAAGCGCAAACGUGCACCGUAAAUUUAGUGCCUGAAUCAGGUAUUUGCUGAAGAAGAAACACCUACGGUACAGAAAGAGAUUGCGAGGAAGGAAAAUGCUACAUCGACUCCUAGGACAAAUGCGAAAAGAAAGCUAGAUGCAUGCAUGAAGCCAUUUUCUCCUGGGAUAAAGUACAAUGCUGGGCAGCAUUCGGUUGGGGCCUGCAUCCAAUCCAAGUCGGAUCCAUCCAACAUCAAAAGAGCAAAAGUAGGAUUGUAGUAAACACAAACUGCAUCGAAGAACGUCUUAGUUCUCAAUGUCGUUUACAGGUUGAAGAACUGCAAUCAUUGUUGCGCAAACUUUGUGAUCUGUCUAAUUCUUUAUAAUUCUGCUUAACAUACCAACAAAGGAUUUGUCUAACAAAACAGGAAGUGGCUGAUUGUAGGAGACUUAGUUUCAGAGAUCAUUUGGCAA